rnacentral:rRNA from 1 species
CGCUGGUGGCAGGCCUAACACAUGCAAGUGGAGCGACGAACCGGGGCUUGCCCCGGGGCAGAGCCGCGAACGGGUGAGUAACACGUGGGUAACCCACCCCGAUGACCGGGACAACCCGAGGAAACUCGGGCUAAUACCGGAUGUGCUCCUUGAUCUCGAGGUCAAGGCGUAAAGAUAGCUUCGGCCUUCGCAUCGGGACGGGCCCGCGGCCCAUUAGCUUGUUGGUGGGGUAACGGCCUACCAAGGCGACGAUGGGUAGCUGGUCUGAGAGGACGAUCAGCCACACUGGGACUGAGACACGGCCCAGACUCCUACGGGAGGCAGCAGUGGGGAAUCUUGCGCAAUGCGCGAAAGCGUGACGCAGCAACGCCGCGUGGGGGAAGACGGCCUUCGGGUUGUAAACCCCUUUCAGUUGGGACGAAGCUUCGCCGGUGAAUAGCCGGCUGGAGUGACGGUACCUUCACAAGAAGCCCCGGCU